AUGGCCCGGCGGCUGCCCUGCUCCUGCCUCCAAGCUAUACCCCGUCUGAAAGCUUUUGUCCCCUUCCAUGAAUGGCAACGAUACGGAGUUCUAGAAGCUUUUGUCCCCUUCCAUGGAUGGCAACGAUACAGAGGUCUGGAAGCUUCUGUCCCCUUCCAUGGCUGGCCACGAUACGGAGAUCAUUUGCCUCCUCCUUCGAGCCAGAUCUGCUUCUCCAAUUCAGCCUUCAUUCCAUGUACUGGUGAGUGGCAAGUUCUCAUGGUGCCCAAACAGCACCGGGGUGUUCCCCUGGUGGCCCGAGGAUUCCAAGUGAGCAGGGAAAACCCACCAUGGGGGUCUACUGCCCAGGGUUUAGCAUCCCCAACAACCAAAUGA
rnacentral:rRNA from 1 species